UACAGAGGAGCCAAGCGUUGUCCGGAUUGACUGGGCGUAGAGCGCACGCAGGCGGGGGUGCGCGUGGGGUGUGAAAUCUGGCCGCUUAACGGCCAGGCGCCAUCCCAUACGGCACGCCUGGAGCCUUGCAGAGGUCGGUGGAAUUGCCGGUGUAGUGGUGAAAUGCGUAGAGAUCGGCAGGAACACCCAGGGGGAAACCAGCCGACUGGGCAAGUGCUGACGCUGAGGUGCGAGAGCGUGGGGAGCGAACCGG
rnacentral:rRNA from 1 species